UACGUAGGGUGCAAGCGUUGUCCGGAAUUAUUGGGCGUAAAGAGCUCGUAGGCGGUUUGUCGCGUCUGCUGUGAAAACCCGAGGCUCAACCUCGGGCCUGCAGUGGGUACGGGCAGACUAGAGUGCGGUAGGGGAGAUUGGAAUUCCUGGUGUAGCGGUGGAAUGCGCAGAUAUCGAGGAGGAACACCAAUGGCGAAGGCAGAUCUCUGGGCCGUAACUGACGCUGAGGAGCGAAAGCAUGGGGAGCGAACAGG
rnacentral:rRNA from 1 species